AGGGCAGAGCCGGGGAGGGGAGCACCUGCCCCGCGGGGUGCCCCACCUGCCCCAGGUGUGCCCCUCGGGUGGUUCCUCUGCGCCGGCACCGGUGGCCAGCACGCUGUGGGGGUCGUGGCCCACCCGACUGCUCCACCUGGAUGUUCAGCCUACCGACACGGGACCGCGGUGACACUGGCCCUAUAGGUCAGCACUUGUAGGUCUCAUCACUAUAACUGAAAGGAUUCAAACUCGAUGCAGAUUUCCCAAAGUUCAGAAGAGGAGGUUGGGUACUUGGCCACUGCCUGCCUGACAUAGCCCACGGGGGAAGUCUUGACCCAGCCUUUGAAAUGGACACAGAGGCUUUGUUAGGGCACAUCAUAAAAGGAUAUAAAAUUGAAGGAGCUUGUACCUAAAAACCUGGUUACUUAACAUCUUUGUAAUCAAACACAGGUAAUUAAGUGGCACCAUGUGGUUCAAUAACAAUGUUCUGUUUAAAACCAGAAAAAGAUAAUGGCAUCAAAUCAGACAUAUGUUUCCAAUGAGGAAAGGACCCGGUUGCUUCUUGCUCAUCCCCAGACAGUUAUUGUGCCUCACUGCCAGACUUGGAUACCUCAGCAGUUUAUCUACCCAGAAAGAUGAAGGUGUGAUUAUCACAUAAUAAGCUUACUCAUGCUCGCUCUGCUCUUGCUGGCACAUGCACAGCAGUUACUAUGCAAUGACAGUCUUCUCUGCAACAACCCAAGUGCAACUUCUCUUCAGCCUGGGGUCCCAUUGCAGCCAGUGCUGCUGUGCCCCCACCACUACAGCCACGUGUGCUGGUCGGGGCAAAGCUGCCAUGGAAAGAGAGUUAUGCUGCGGCCCUGGCUCGGUGUGCUCUGUCCCCUCACCUGUGCUAUCAGCACAGGAUGUGCAGCAAUUCCUGCACAAGGUGCCCUCCAUCCACCCUCAGGAUGACAGAGAGGAGAAGAGAAUGGCCCCUUUGCCCCUUCCCUGCUUUGGAGCUUGGCAGCAGCUGUCGUGGUGGCUAAAUGGGCUGUUGAAGGGGUUCAUGGCAGGGACGUUUGUCAAGCACCAAUUUUCCAUUCAAACCUGCAGUGUCAUUUCAGUUCCUAAUUAUAGCCAAGGUACUUUUUGGGGUUUUGUUGUGGGCUGUUUUUUACUUUAGAACAGGCUGCUCCUGUUUGAUAUUAGCAAUGCAGAAUCACUACUCAUGGCUGGAUGAACACAAGCCCUGGCUUUCCCUACUGCACCUGCUUGCUGAAGCCAUGGCUCCUACAUUGGUCCUUCUGCCAGGAAGCUCAGAGGUAGCAGGAGGCUGAAAUGAACAGUUCCCAAUAGCUCUCUGUCUUGGGAAGUUAAUUCCAUCAGGAUGUAACAUUGCUUGUAGAGGAGCUGCUGAUUUUGGAGUUGCAGCUGGUGCUGACAAGGCAUUGCUGUGAGGAAGUCCACACAGAUAAGAUGUUUGUCUAGUCUGACUAACACUGCCCUCACCCUCCUUGGGGUCUUUUGAGCUAUUCCUGAGGACUGUAGUGACACUGCUGCCUACAGGUGGGUUGUAGCUCCAUGCCUCAAUCAACUGAGCGCUGCAGAAUUUGGAGCAUAUGCCUCAUUAGUGAGAAGGGACUCACUAGUGCAGGUGUGAUUCAUCACUUUGGAGAGCACGUCAGGGAUCAGGGCAUGAAACGGCUUGACUAACAGAGGUAAUAACAGGGCAGGCAGGGGCCAUGUUACAGAACCGAGCAACAAAACAGCAGCAGCAGCUGAAAGAACUGUGUAGUGGGACAGAGUGAGAGCACAAAGCAGAAACCUGGCUGUCCACAACACCUGUAUCUGGGUUUCAGCUGGGAACAAACUCAUGCUGUUCAGAGAAUCUGGAUUAUAUCCUUCUCACAAAUUCCUUUUGGAGGUUCUUCGUGUAUGUCUUUUUCUAGACAAAUUAGUCUUGGGAUCACAGUGGCUGCGUGGCAUCCACUGCAUACUAAAGAGCUAUUCUGGAGCCAAAUGCCAGGGAACAACAGUGCCCGGCUGCAGAGAGAAGCACAUAAUUCCAGCACGGCUGAGCAGCGAGAUGUGCGGGGACAUCUCUCCAGAGAGAGCGUGGCUCCUCUUCCAUCUGGCAGCACAAAAGAGGACAGGCCUGAAUCCUCAAGACACGAAGAUUAUAUUAUGUAACGUGCACGCUCGCUGCUUCCUGAGACAGAGCUGAGUUAAACUACCCGUGUGAUUCAGUCCGAGGCCAAGCCAGAGGGGAGCUGCAUUUCCCUCCCUGAACCUGGGGGAUUCUGGAGCAAAUGACCUGAACUCUCCUUUGUAAGACCAAAGCUUUUCACAAGCCCAUGCAGAUGUUUUACAAGCACAAUAAACUGCAUAUGUGAUGGAGUCAUCUCUUUCUGAAAUGUGAUCUGGACCACAGGAUUAUGGCUGCUUUUCAGAGAGACAGGUGGACUCUUCAGCUGCAUUAAAAAGGAUCCCUGAUUAUCAGUGCUGUUGCAGGAAAGCAAUUCCUUGGUUCCUUGGUGUGAUUUCCUGAACUUGCAUAGGACACCAGUGUUCCCGUAUCAGUGAGUAACAACAUGAAUCUCACCUCCCCACUUUUCCCUGUGCAGAAGGAACAGGCUCCUCAGCGUCUUUUCUCUCACCCAUUAGAAGAGAUCCAGCUGCAUUGCUAUUGAUCCCUACACUCCUUAGCCUCUCUGUGGAAUCCAGCCUUUACAAAGGCUGUGCAACUGCAGGUUAAUUGUGUCUCAAGGGUGUAUCUGGGCUGUGCCCAAGUGCUGCCCCCAGCUCUGUGUUGUGCGAUGGCUGAGAAAGAAAAUCACAGAGGUCAAAGCCCUUGGUAACAUUGUCAAAGCCCUGCCUUCCCUUCAUGAUGGGAGAAGGACAGAACAGGUAAACUCCUGAAGUUUCAUGACUUUCUUGGCAUUCUAGAAUUCUUUUAUUCUCACUAAUAAGUGUUAUUUAUCAAUUCAGAAACUUAACACUUUGAGGUCAGUGCAGGUUAUUUUAUCCAUUGCUGUAGUCCUGUUACUUGCCACUUGGAUGCAGAGACAGCAGCCAGUACAAGAUACAGGACAUAGAGAAAUGUCUCAAUACACAGGAAAGCAAAUUCCUUGCUCGUUUGCGAAGUACAAUUGCAAUUACGUCAAGAGAUAUGUCCAGUGUACCCAGAGGGAGUCCUAAUAAUGCAAGGGAAUGCCAAUGGCAAAGCCCACAGUGACAGUUCCAAAACUAAGAGAGUGGUGGUUGUCAUACUUAAGAACAAUACGGGGUUUUUUUUAUGAGCAACAAAAUAGUUUAAAAAAAGAAAAUGAGGUAUACAUGAGGCAAGAGCCUUAGUGAGGGCUGAGGUCCUAAUGGGAGCAAGGAAAAUGCUGAUGAAAUACAAUUUCUUGCUUUAAAUAUUUGUAAACAAAGAUCCCAAAAUAGCCUUUCAGAAAUGAAGAAAAAAAAUCCUGAUAAAACAAUUCCACCAACAGGUGUCCAAAUUGUCCCAAGACUGUAAGCAAUCCUCUGGUGCCACACACAGCAAACUUGGAAAUUAAAGAUAUUGAAACCAGUGGGAAUGCAAUAGCUACUGCUAAGAAAGGAUGAGAAUUUUCACAGAGAAGCUGCUACUACCUGGAAAGGGCUGCCAUUUACAACCAUCAAACAAGAAAUGAGAGGGAAAGCAUCCCCAAAAGUGGUUCCUUCUGUUGAAAUGGUGUUUGCAGGAUCCUGUCUACAUCCUUUCUCACCUGAGACCAGAUAUCUCUCCAACAUCCAGGUUUGUUUCAUCCUCAUCGAUGUCCUUCUUUGGCUGCUCUGAACAUGGGGAAUUCCAGCUCCUAAAGACAAAAGUGAAGGAGCAAUUAGCCCAAAUACAUUGGUGGGUUCUGUCUUUUAGACUAGGAUUAUUCAAAGUAUUAUGUACAUUCCUUAGAAAAGCAGGCCUUUUUAAGGCCCAGGAGGCUUUCUGCCAAACUCCCCAGAAAUUUAUACAGACCUUCCUUAAAUAUCCCAAGGGAGGAUGUUUUAUGUUAUCUCUCAGCUUGUGUAGCUUCCAACAAGGAGCAGGGCAUACGAAGCGAACAGAGAUAAUCAGGUGUUUUUCAUUGGCCACAUCCCCUUGCAAUACACAAAAAUUCAGCUGGUCAAGUUCCAAAUUGAACCCUGCGCUUGAAAACUGACCAAGGAAGUAUUUAAACUGAAAACUUCAAGGAACAGAGGAAGCAGUUAAAAAAAAACCAAAUUAGCUCGAAUCAGGUUCAGGUAAGAAUAAUGCAGGACUCCUAAUUCGACCCUAAUUUCGUUCCUUCAUUCUUUAACCAUCAUAUUUUUAAUCCUUUCUGAUCCACUGGAUCAACUUUGUUUUCCCCUCUGCCUAUUCUUCUGCAUUAAGCACAGAUGCAGUAAUUAUGCAGCGAGAUUUUUCUUAAACUGAAAAAUGGGAUGAUUAAAUUGUGUGUAUGAAGAGAAGAAAAAUGAUCCCAAUGGAACUAAAAAAGUUAAGCACAGGUAAAAGCUGCCAGUGCCCAAUGGCACAUCCAGUCCCUUGGCCAUGCUGUUGGCCAAGGCUGGGGUGCUCUGUCAUCCAUCUCAGCUCCAGCAGGAUUUCAGAUAGUGACAGGGACACAAGCAUUUAUAUCUGCUGUCAUUGUUGCUUGGCAGUAAAAAUAUAUUCCUCUUAGGCUGUCCAGACAUUUCAGUUUCUCUUAGGACCCAGUUUGAAAAAAACAAAAAAUGAAAGAAACUGAUUAUUCCACUGUGGAUAGGAAUAUGGAGGAGGUCACCAUAUGCGUAGGAUAAAUAUCCUCCUGUUGCAAAUUUGUAUCAGUCAGUCACCAUCAUCUGCUCUGUGGGAUAAAAAUGUCUCAGAUAUUCUGCACUCAAACAUCAGAAUUGCCCAUCUCAUUUACGGUGCUUACUGCUGUUCAGCAGGAUCAGCCAUGAAGAUUAAGGUGAUUUUUUUGCUCAGCCAAUUGCCCUUUCCUUCCUUUUCUUUUUUUAUUUUCAUUGAACCUUCACCUCUCCCUUUCCCCAAUGUCUCUGAAGAGACAAGGACAAAGUCAGGAGAUUUGCAAAGGAACUGAUUGUGCUCAUAUAGAAAAUCAGAUCAUUCUGCAGAACUUUCAGCAGAUCCUCUCCAAUACUGCUCUUAUACCUGUCUUUCAUUGAUUUUGUUAUACAGUAUCAAAAGGACACUGUAGACUCACAUCUGAAUGUAGUGCCAGUGCACUGAACAAAAAGUCACUCUGUCCCAAGGGAGAGGAAAAGGAAUGGGCAAAGAGGAGCAAAGAGAGAAAGGGAGAGCAGCACAGGGAAGAAAAGAAAGGCCAAGCAAUAGCUGGAAAGAACAAAUCCUUUCUUUUUGCUCUGUGCACCUUCUUUCUUUCCCACACUCAAGUCCCCCCUGUCCCCUUUCCUGGCUCCUGGGAUAAUGUGGUCUGCAGUCUGAUGGCUUUAAACUGAAACCCAGUCCAAACCUGACUUUUCAGUUUCUAGAGCUCUGGAAGGGCACAGGCAGGAGGUAAGAGCAUCCCUGAGGAAGCUCCUCCGGCAGAGCUGCUGCAGCAGCAAAGCUAUUAAUAAAUGUUUGCAAUCUUUUAAUCGCUCUUCUAAAUUGCCAUCGUGUUCCUGCAAACCCCAUAGUGUGUCAGUGCAGCUGCCUCCUCCCGCCUGCCUCCCCGUGUUCGUGCAUGUGAGUGAGGGGGAACAUCAGGAACAUGCUCAGAUCCGAGGGCUGCUGCAGCCUUAGAGGGAAAUGAUUUUGACAAGUGACUUUUUAAAUCUUCCUUAUUCCAGAGGAAGCGGCCCUAUUACUUGCAUUUAUAAACCAUAUUUUCACCUGGUUCGCCUUCUCCAGCAAAUCCCGCCUGCUCGAUCAAGACACUAAACUUUUUUUCAUUAAAAUAUCACAUCUGAUCUGUCAUGGCUUGGGACCUGCCACCCGAGAGGCCACGUCUCUUGUGAUGUGAUAGCACUGCAGGCACAGUCACCUAGCAGUCACUCUGGCUUAGACAAAGACAUUCCCAGCCACAGAACGUUUCUGUCCACUUUAUGAGACCCACUAUGGAGCUGACAGUCACCAGGGGUACAACACAAACAUAUAUUGCUUUUCAGGCGUUUCUAAAGGGUCAAGUAGUCAGGACAUAAGUGGACUGGAAAGCUGUGAUCCUAUUUAAGGCAAGAGAUAACAUUUCAGGAUGAAAAGGAUUAAUACUUUCAAAUAAAUUGUCUAUUUGCCUCUUUAUGUUUCUAAAGUGUAUCCAUUAUUGUCCAAACUAGGAUAUUACAGACAAAGCCACCUUCUAACGUCAUGGUGGAGAUCAGCUUAAUCCUUUCUCUGUUCCCUCCCCCAGCUCAAACUCUCAUCUUCAUCCUAAUUAUAAUAGCAUUUGAAAUUAUCAUGGUUUAAAAAAAGAUGCCAGCUUAUAUAAUAUUCUUAUUGCUUAUUAAUGAUUUCAGAAGGGAGAGCAAGUUGCCUUGCAUUCUGGGAAUUAUGCAAACCAGGGCUGAGCCAUACCUUGUUGGACUCCACCAGUUUCUUAUUUGGAAGCCUGAUGCGUGAGGAUUACCGUGUAAUAACAGAUGUUAAGGCUUUUAGUGAAUGACAGGCCUGCUGCACACACCAGAACAAGAAGACAUGACAGGCGUCACAUUUCACAGUGAUUAGCCUGGGGCACUUUUCAGAGGCUGAAGACUCGAGGCGAAGUGACUUUAACGGCCCAGCGAGUGUGAUAAUCCCCCAGCACAGCCCGAAGAGUUUGACUGCUGUUCAGGAUGGGAGCUUAUGAACAGUGAUACAGAAAACAGCAGACUGGAUAUCAGGGACACGGUUACACGGCACUGACAGCCACAAAGACAGUCUGCUGGGAUAGGAAGUUAUUAAGUCCAUUACUUAAUCUAAAGUUGCUUAUACCCUGUCCUCAAGACAUCACCUCCUCCAUGCAGCUGUAACGUGUGAGAGGCACUAAAGAACUGAACUGGAGAUUUAGUACAAGUCCUUCAGCUUCCUGUGCUUGUCACUGUGGUGAACAUGGGGUGGAGUAGGAGGGAACGUGAAUGGGAGCAGGAGCUCUGUAUCCAUGUUAUAAACUGCUGCAGUUUUAUUAAAAAACGAGCUUCAAUAUGAGAUGA